rnacentral:tRNA from 1 species
CUGCCUGUGGCCUAAUGGGCAAGGUUAUAGUCUUGAGAACAUGGGGUUGUAGGUUCAAGCCCAGCUAGGAACA